rnacentral:rRNA from 1 species
AGAGUUUGAUCCUGGCUCAGAGUGAACGUUGGCGGCGUGCCUAACACAUGCAAGUCGUACGCUCCAUAAGCAGCUUGCUGCUUAUGGGGAGUGGCGGACGGGUGAGUAACACGUGGGUAACCUACCCUCGAGUGGGGGAUAACCUCGCGAAAGCGGGGCUAAUACCGCAUAAUACCCUGUGGCCUAAGCCAUCAGGGUCAAAGCCUUCGGGCGCUUGAGGAUGGGCCCGCGGCCUAUUAGCUUGUUGGUAGGGUAACGGCCUACCAAGGCGACGAUGGGUAGCCGGCCUGAGAGGGUGUCCGGCCACACUGGGACUGAGACACGGCCCAGACUCCUACGGGAGGCAGCAGUGGGGAAUCUUGCGCAAUGGGCGAAAGCCUGACGCAGCGACGCCGCGUGGGGGAUGACGGCCUUCGGGUUGUAAACCCCUGUCAGAGGUGAAGAAACCCUGGUUUACCAGGGCUGACGGUAACCUCAGAGGAAGCCCCGGCCAACUACGUGCCAGCAGCCGCGGUAAUACGUAGGGGGCGAACGUUGCUCGGAAUUACUGGGCGUAAAGGGUGUGUAGGUGGCUGAGCAAGUCGAAGAUGAAAUCCCAGGGCUCAACUCUGGAAUUGUCUUCGAUACUGUUCAGCUUGAGGGUGGUCGAGGAAGACGGAAUUCCCGGUGGAGCGGUGAAAUGCGUAGAUAUCGGGAGGAACACCAGAGGCGAAGGCGGUCUUCUAGGCCACUCCUGACACUGAGGCACGAAAGCUAGGGGAGCGAACGGGAUUAGAUACCCCGGUAGUCCUAGCCGUAAACGAUGGGCACUAGAUGUUCCCGCGUUUUAGUGGGAGUGUCGAAGCUAACGCGUUAAGUGCCCCGCCUGGGGAGUACGGUCGCAAGGGCUGAAACUCAAAGGAAUUGACGGGGGCCCGCACAAGCGGUGGAGCAUGUGGUUUAAUUCGAUGCAACGCGAAAAACCUUACCUGGGCUUGAACUGCUGGUGGUAGGACCCCGAAAGGGGAACGACCCCGAGUAAUCGGGGAGCCAGCAGAGGUGCUGCAUGGCUGUCGUCAGCUCGUGUCGUGAGAUGUUGGGUUAAGUCCCGCAACGAGCGCAACCCCUGCCCUUAGUUGCCAGCGGGUCAUGCCGGGCACUCUAAGGGGACUGCCCCGGAUAACGGGGAGGAAGGUGGGGACGACGUCAAGUCAGCAUGGCCUUUAUGUCCAGGGCUACACACGUGCUACAAUGGGCGGUACAGAGGGAUGCAAAGCCGCGAGGUGGAGCUAAUCCCUAAAGCCGCUCUCAGUUCGGAUCGCAGGCUGCAACUCGCCUGCGUGAAGCUGGAAUCGCUAGUAAUCGCGGAUCAGCAUCGCCGCGGUGAAUACGUUCUCGGGCCUUGUACACACCGCCCGUCACAUCACGAAAGUCGGUCGCACCCGAAGUCGCCGGGCUAACCCCUUUUGGGGAGGCAGGUGCCGAAGGUGUGGUCGAUGAUUGGGGUGAAGUCGUAACAAGGUA